AACUCCGAAUGCCAAUUAAUUUAACUUGGGAGUCAGAACAUGGGUGAUAAGGUCCGUGUUCGAAAGGGAAACAGCCCAGACCACCAGCUAAGGUCCCAAAAUAUAUGUUAAGUGGAAAAGGAUGUGGCGUUGCCCAGACAACUAGGAUGUUGGCUUAGAAGCAGCCAUCAUUUAAAGAGUGCGUAAUAGCUCACUAGUCGAGUGACACUGCGCCGAAAAUGUACCGGGGCUAAACAUAUUACCGAAGCUGUGGAUUGUCCUUUGGACAAUGGUAGGAGAGCGUUCUAAGGGCGUUGAAGCAUGAUCGUAAGGACAUGUGGAGCGCUUAGAAGUGAGAAUGCCGGUGUGAGUAGCGAAAGACGGGUGAGAAUCCCGUCCACCGAUUGACUAAGGUUUCCAGAGGAAGGCUCGUCCGCUCUGGGUUAGUCGGGUCCUAAGCUGAGGCCGACAGGCGUAGGCGAUGGAUAACAGGUUGAUAUUCCUGUACCACCUAUAAUCGUUUUAAUCGAUGGGGGGACGCAGUAGGAUAGGCGAAGCGUGCGAUUGGAUUGCACGUCUAAGCAGUAAGGCUGAGUAUUAGGCAAAU
rnacentral:rRNA from 1 species